rnacentral:rRNA from 1 species
GACGAACGCUGGCGGCGUGCCUAAUACAUGCAAGUUGAGCGCUGAAGGUUGGUACUUGUACCUACUGGAUGAGCAGCGAACGGGUGAGUAACGCGUGGGGAAUCUGCCUUUGAGCGGGGGACAACAUCUGGAAACGAAUGCUAAUACCGCAUAAAAACUUUAAACACAAGUUUUAAGUUUGAAAGAUGCAAUUGCAUCACUCAAAGAUGAUCCCGCGGUGGCUUAGCUAGUUGGUGAGGUAAAGGCUCACCAAGGCGAUGAUACAUAGCCGACCUGAGAGGGGGGUCGGGCACAUUGGGACCGAGACACGGCCCAAAAUCCUACGGGAGGCAGCAGUAGGGAAUCUUCGGCAAUGGACGAAAGUCUGACCGAGCAACGCCGCGUGAGUGAAGAAGGUUUUCGGAUCGUAAAACUCUGUUGGUAGGGAAGAACGUUGGUGGGAGUGGAAAGCUCAUCAAGUGACGGUAACUACCCAGAAAGGGACGGCUAACUACGUG